UACGUAGGGUGCAAGCGUUGUCCGGAAUUAUUGGGCGUAAAGAGCUCGUAGGCGGUCUGUCGCGUCGGCUGUGAAAUCCCGAGGCUCAACCUCGGGUCUGCAGUCGAUACGGGCAAACUGGAGUGUUGCAGGGGAGACUGGAAUUCCUGGUGUAGCGGUGAAAUGCGCAGAUAUCAGGAGGAACACCGGUGGCGAAGGCGGGUCUCUGGGCAACAACUGACGCUGAGGAGCGAAAGCGUGGGGAGCGAACUGG
rnacentral:rRNA from 1 species